rnacentral:tRNA from 1 species
UCCCUCAUAGCUUAAUUGGUAAAUCAUCUGCCUACAAUGCAGGCGACCUGGGUUCGAUUCCUGGGUUGGGAA